UGGGAUUAAAGAUGUCACCAGGAACCCA
rnacentral:piRNA from 1 species